rnacentral:rRNA from 1 species
UACGUAGGCAGCGAGCGUUGUUCGGAAUUACUGGGCGUAAAGAGUGUGUAGGCGGUGUUCUAAGUCUGUUGUGAAAUCUCCCGGCUUAACUGGGAGGGUGCGGCGGAAACUGGAAUGCUAGAGGAUGGGAGAGGUAAGCGGAAUUCCUGGUGUAGCGGUGAAAUGCGUAGAUAUCAGGAGGAACACCUGUGGUGUAGACAGCUUACUGGACCAUUUCUGACGCUGAGACACGAAAGCGUGGGUAGCAAACAGG